rnacentral:rRNA from 1 species
GACAGAGGGUGCAAACGUUGUUCGGAAUUAUUGGGCGUAAAGGGCGCGUAGGCGGCCAUGCGUGUCUUCCGUGAAAUCCCUCGGCUUAACUGAGGACGUGCGGAAGAAACUGCAAGGCUUGAGUCCGGGAGAGGGGGGUGGAAUUCCCAGUGUAGCGGUGAAAUGCGUAGAUAUUGGGAGGAACACCGGUGGCGAAGGCGGCCCCCUGGACCGGUACUGACGCUGAGGCGCGAAAGCGUGGGUAGCAAACGGG